CUGUCUCUGUUGAAACAAGAUGUGCAAACGCGUGUGGCAGGAUCUAACGACCUUCUGAGCCUGGCUAAAGCGAGAAUAACCACACGCUCCUUGCAGUAAAAAAGGACAUCCAACAUGACGGAUGACGGAGAAGUUUAUGGAAAUUGGAAAACGAAGAUAUCAUUGGGGGAGCCAAUCGAGGGAGUACCUUCAAUGCUAAUGAAGUUUCUGCAAAGCUAAAUGAGGAUGUUGCCUUCGUCACUUCGCCAUCAAGGGCCACUUCAACUUCACAACGCAAGAUCUACGUAGCAGAUCUACACAUCUUCCACCUUGUGAGCACUAUACUAGCUACAGGCUGUACAAGAAGCGACAUAUUAUGGGAGAAAAGUGAGUGUACAAGAGAGGCCAGUUUACAACAACGGCACGCCAAAAAGGGCACAAGCUUUAGGCAGGCGAAGAAGGAGGGCGAGGGGACUUCUACUGGGAGGCAAACACACGUCAGAACUCUUCAGCGCAAGAGCACAAGCGAUCGAUGCGACCCCGUUAAAGCGAAAGAUUUCAAGAGCACAUAGGGAGAGUAAAUUGUAGCAGAGAACAAGCUACUGUGUACUAUGUGCAAACUAUAGCGGCUCAUAGAGCACAGCCAAGCAGCUAGAAAGCAAUGGCUAUAAUAAUACAAUUUAUCUAAUGUAUUGCAUGCAUUGUGGCUUACACUGUUACGGUGCUAGAGUGAUAAUGCGUUCGACUAUAGGCGAUAGCUCUCUUCAGUCAUUCUUUGGUCAUUGGCUCAAUAGCGAGCUAAAUGUAUUUUGCAUUUCGCUUUGUUACACCGUUUACUGGACGCUACUGGCGGCGCUCGCUUCUACGCAAGCCCAAGUUCAAGGCAGCGAAGCGUUAGAGUUAAACUUAUGUUUCGAUCCGAGAUACCCCUGGAACGGUGGCAGCAGCGACAGCGGCGCCGCCGCCGCCACCGCCGCCGCCGCCGCUGCUGCUGCUUUUGUCGCUGUCGUCGUCUUCGGUGUUCACACAGUGCACUGCCACUGUCCCCUGCUAACUCUAAAGAUCGAUUUCGAAACGCUCGAAGAACCAAAGCAGAAGUCAGAAACGAAGGGGGGAGUGUGGCGUCGACGACAUCGUCAUGAUUUCGCCGGUCCUGACCGCGGCUACUGCAUUCUACCAAACAGAGGACGACGCAAGUGCCCUGAUGGGGUCGUCGAGUCGCAUUAGAAUCAGCUAGAUAGACCGCAUAGACUGUGCGUAGCAAAAAUGAACAAGAAGCGGUCGUAAUGACGGCGCUAGCGUGACCAGUCUGUGACAGUGAUGCACUGUAGCAGAUCGUCGCUGUUUACUGUUUGUCAUCGCAUUGUAGUUUCAAGUACAGACCCGAUGGCGCCGCAAGAGGCUGCAGUUCUGUCGAGAACGAGCGGCCAGACCCUCCAGUUCUAUUAUGUCAGAAAACCGAGAAGAGGCCAAGGGAGAGAGCAAACGGUUCGAGAAAUGGACGAAUAAGUGAAUGAAUUAGAUGAGAUCGAACAGAUAUUGGAGGAUGCACCGCCACAAGAGCUAAGCGGCUCAGUGCUUAGCCGCCGGUGACGCCGAUUCCGAUUGGCCAAAGCCGGGACAAGUGCUGGAUAUGAUCCGCGACCAUCAAUAGAUUGUCAUCUUCUGAUGACGACUGAAUGUAGCGCUUUGCGAAAGAAAUAGCAAUAACAGUCAAUAAAAGAGAGCAACUUCCGUCACUAGGAAGGAACAAUGCAAAAUAACCACGGUGCGAAUACCCCAUGGUUCUUUGCUGUAUUUUCGGCAUACGAGCAUACCAGGUAAAGAGCCGAUUGCUUUUGUGUAUACUGGGAAUGUCUACCAAGUGUUGCUAGGCGAGUGGAACGUACAUUUCCUCCAGGCCCAAGGUACCCUAGGGGUUAUAUCGAUUAGUUUCCUAAUGCAUCUAAAGCCUAACCAGCCGGCCAAGACAUGCCUUAUCAGCAGAUAAGUAUGUGUUUUUUUUGAGGUUUAUAACGCGAGAGGCUUAAGUUACAUCCGGACUAUCUGGGACAACGGAAAACAUGAACAAUGACCACCAACCACAAGGCUCCGGAACUUAACGUUCUAAUUUUUGGAUUCUCACAGAUGUCUACGUUUCUUUGAAUGCACAUACAAAUCGCGCAAGUUUCAAUAAGCAGAGCUCAUCCUGGAAGCCAUAUUUGGAUUACCAAGGAUGGUAACAUAAUUGUAUUAGGAAAAUGGCGGCUUGCAUCAUAUAACGUAAGGAAAAAACUUUUAUUCAGAAACAUGUCUGUGGUUCCAUUGUCGAGGCGAACUGCACAAAAAGAGAAUUAUUAAAAUCUAAG